rnacentral:rRNA from 1 species
CCUGACCGAGCAACGCCGCGUGAGUGAAGAAGGUUUUCGGAUCGUAAAGCUCUGUUGUUAAGGAAGAACGGGAGUAGGAGUGGAAAGCCUACUUUGUGACGGUACUUAACCAGAAAGGGACGGCUAACUACGUGCCAGCAGCCGCGGUAAUACGUAGGUCCCGAGCGUUAUCCGGAUUUAUUGGGCGUAAAGCGAGCGCAGGCGGUUAGAUAAGUCUGGAGUAAAAGGCUAUGGCUCAACCAUAGUGUGCUCUGGAAACUGUUUAACUUGAGUGCAGAAGGGGAGAGUGGAAUUCCAUGUGUAGCGGUGAAAUGCGUAGAUAUAUGGAGGAACACCGGUGGCGAAAGCGGCUCUCUGGUCUGUAACUGACGCUGAGGCUCGAAAGCGUGGGGAGCGAACAGGAUUAGAUACCCUGGUAGUCCACGCCGUAAACGAUGAGUGCUAGGUGUUAGGCCCUUUCCGGGGCUUAGUGCCGUAGCUAACGCAAUAAGCACUCCGCCUGGGGAGUACGACCGCAAGGUUGAAACUCAAAGGAAUUGACGGGGGCCCGCACAAGCGGUGGAGCAUGUGGUUUAAUUCGAAGCAACGCGAAGAACCUUACCAGGUCUUGACAUCCCGAUGCCCGUCCUAGAGAUAGGAUUUUACUUCGGUACAUCGGUGACAGGUGGUGCAUGGUUGUCGUCAGCUCGUGUCGUGAGAUGUUGGGUUAAGUCCCGCAACGAGCGCAACCCUUAUUGUUAGUUGCCAUCAUUGAGUUGGGCACUCUAGCGAGACUGCCGGUAAUAAACCGGAGGAAGGUGGGGAUGACGUCAAAUCAUCAUGCCCCUUAUGACCUGGGCUACACACGUGCUACAAUGGCUGGUACAACGAGUCGCAAGUCGGUGACGACAAGCUAAUCUCUGAAAGCCAGUCUCAGUUCGGAUUGUAGGCUGCAACUCGCCUACAUGAAGUCGGAAUCGCUAGUAAUCGCGGAUCAGCACGCCGCGGUGAAUACGUUCCCGGGCCUUGUACACACCGCCCGUCACACCACGAGAGUUUGUAACACCCGAAGUCGGUGAGGUAACCGUAAGGAGCCAGCCGCCUAAGGUGGGAUAGAUGAUUGGGGUGAAGUCGUAACAAGGUAGCCGUAUCGGAA